UACGGGGGGAGCAAGCGUUGUUCGGAAUUACUGGGCGUAAAGGGCUCGUAGGCGGCCAACUAAGUCAGACGUGAAAUCCCUAGGCUCAACCUAGGAACUGCGUCUGAUACUGGAUGGCUUGAAUCCGGGAGAGGGAUGCAGAAUUCCAGGUGUAGCGGUGAAAUGCGUAGAUAUCUGGAGGAAUACCGGUGGCGAAGGCGGCAUCCUGGACCGGCAUUGACGCUGAGGAGCGAAAGCCAGGGGAGCAAAGCGGG
rnacentral:rRNA from 1 species